GACGAACGCUGGCGGCGUGCUUAACACAUGCAAGUCGAACGGAAAGGCCCCCAUCUUGGUGGGGGUGCUCGAGUGGCGAACGGGUGAGUAACACGUGGGUGAUCUGCCCUGUACUUCGGGAUAAGCUUGGGAAACUGGGUCUAAUACCGGAUAGGACCAUGGUUUAGUGUCUCAUGGUGGAAAGAUUAUUGUUUUGGUGCAGGAUGAGCUCGCGGCCUAUCAGCUUGUUGGUGGGGUAAUGGCCUACCAAGGCGUCGACGGGUAGCCGGCCUGGGAGGGUGGACGGCCACAUUGGGACUGAGAUACGGCCCAGCCUCCUACGGGAGGCAGCAGGGGGGAAUAUGGCACAAUGGGCGAAAGCCUGAUGCAGCGACGCCGCGUGGGGGAUGACGGCCUUCGGGUUGUAAACUCCUUUCUUUAGGGACGAAGCCGCACUUUUUUUGGGUGUGGUGACGGUACCUUUGUUAAGAAGCACCGGCUAACUACGUG
rnacentral:rRNA from 1 species